UACGUAGGCAGCAAGCGUUGUUCGGAGUUACUGGGCGUAAAGGGUGCGUAGGCGGUUGUUUAAGUUUGGUGUGAAAUCUCCCGGCUCAACCGGGAGGGUGCGCCGAAUACUGAACGGCUAGAGUGCGGGAGAGGAGAGUGGAAUUCCUGGUGUAGCGGUGAAAUGCGUAGAUAUCAGGAGGAACACCGGUGGUGUAGACGGCUCUCUGGACCGUAACUGACGCUGAGGCACGAAAGCGUGGGCAGCAAACAGG
rnacentral:rRNA from 1 species